GAAUAGACUUGUAGAGCAUGGGAAAUCAUCCAUGGCAUCCGGGAAGAGGUUUUUAGCAAGGGGACCAUCUAGGAAAAGUCUCCUUGUGGACAUGCACCUGCCAGUAGAUGGCACUAAAUGGGAGAGGUUAGUGUAGAAAUAGAUGGUGGUAGCCCAGGUCAUGUGUCGUCUAUAGGCAAAUCCUGUGGGCAAGUAUGAGAAGCCACUGUGGCAUGUUGACUCAGUGACGUCAGCUGACAUUUAAAAGGUUUCUCUCUCUCUCUCUUUCUCUCUUAUUUUGCAUUUGUAGUUGAUGUGAGUGGCAGAGUAUUUGGAAAGUCAGGGAAGGUGCUAUGAGAUGGGAUAGAAGGAUCCUGUAGUAACCAGGGGAGACGUCAUUGUGACACGGGCCACUGUUGUAAUAAUGUAAACAGUUAGAAGUGGUUGGACUGUAGAGCAAUUCAAAAGGAAAACAACAACAACAACAAAACCCACAAUGGCUUAGAUGCAGAGAAUAAGAAAAUGAAGAAUAUGAAAAUUUACUUUUUUAUCAUUUUUAGAUUUGAGCAACUGGGAGAAUGGUUUUGAAAAGUACAGAUUUGGCAAAGAGAAGAUCAGUUUUGCUUAUGAAGAAAGAAUUAAGUUUGAAAAAAUGUGUUUACAUUUGCUGAGUUAGAGGAACACAGGAAGGAAUCAUCAAUACCUUUUGGAGCCAAGGAGUGCUACAGAGACAGAGCGAUCGUUGAGUGACAUUUUAAAUAGGUCUGCACAGUGUGGAAUCCAAUCUCCUGCUGCCUGUGGAUCACCAUGUCUGCCUGCAUGCUGCCAUGCUUCUCAUCAUGAUGAUUAUGGACUAAA